ACCAGAGCCAUAUCUCCGAUUGCCUGGUUUCCCACUGAAGCUAAGCAGGCUUGAGUCUGGUCAGUACCUGGAUGGGGGACCUCCUGGGGAAAACUAAGGUUGCUGCUGGAA
rnacentral:rRNA from 1 species